rnacentral:rRNA from 1 species
AUUGAACGCUGGCGGCAGGCCUAAUACAUGCAAGUCGAGCGGAGCGGCGGACGGGUGAGUAAUGCCUAGGAAUCUGCCUGGUAGUGGGGGAUAACGUCCGGAAACGGGCGCUAAUACCGCAUACUAUCAGAUGAGCCUAGGUCGGCUUAGCUAGUUGGUGGGGUAAAGGCCUAGCAAGGCGACGAUCCGUAACUGAUCUGAGUGGAUGAUCGGUCACACUGGAACUGAGACACGGUCCAGACUCCUACGUGAGGCAGCAGUUGGGAAUAUUUGACAAUGGGCGAAAGCCUGAGCCAGCCAUGCCGCGAGUGUGAAGAAGGGCUUCGGAUUGUAAAGCUCUUUUGGUUGAGAGGCGUUACCAACAAAAUAAGCACCGGCUAACUUCGUGCCAGCAGCCGCGGUAAUAC